GCAGGAGAGAAGUUUUAUGAACAGGCUGCUUGUUGCUUGUGAGAGAAUCAGAGAGGCGACUGGGAGAGGUUAGAAGGAGCUCUGAUAAGAGGCUUUAUGGCUUUGCCCUGAGGCAACUUCAGCUCUACAAGUCCACCAAACUCAAAAGUGUGACCCGAUCGGGCCCUGGAGUCUCAGUGUACCAGUGGCACCAACCUCACUGCAGUGUCUCGCUGAGGGGAGCAUCUCAUAAGUGCUGAUGUGGAAUCUGAUCCCUGCAUCCCGCAGUAAGCCCUGCCUUUGCUGGCAGCUGGAGGACCAAGUAGGAGCUCAGAGCAUCUUCUCACAAAUGUGGGAUCUGAAACCUUCCUUGGGAGCCCCUCCUCAGCUGGGUAGGAGGAGCCAAUCCAUCCCCACAGCCCUGCUCUGGGUGCGGGAAGAUCCAAAAGUCAAUCACUCCAGCUGAAGUUCCAAUGAACUCCUUUCAUUGGCCAGAGGUCUAGGAGAAGGUGGGGGUUCCUCCCAGGUGAAAAGUCCCCUUCUUCCGCACCCCUUUGGACUCCAUGUUUGGGUCCCCUUCCACCCUCGGGGAAGCCGUCUGUAUCCUGGAUUUCCCCUCCAGAGUCCCCUUCCACACUCUUAGUGGAAGUUUUCUCUCUUCCCCUUUUUUUUUCUCUUUCUCCACCUAAAUAAAUUCACUUUCUGCAAAAACUCUGUUUGGGGUCUGGAAUUUACUUUGGGAA
ensembl:lncRNA